GUCUUAUCAAGAAAAGGUGGAGGGACAGGCCCGAUGAAACCUUGGCAACAGCCGUAUAACGGAAUUGUGCCAAAUCCUGCAGGUAAUAAAUCCUGAGAGAUAAGAA
rfam:Bacillus anthracis str. 'Ames Ancestor', complete genome.